UCUCCGUUGGUGAACCAGCGGAGGGAUCAUUACAGGACUCGCAAGACUCCUACAACCCUGUGAACUUAACUAUAAGCACGUUGCUUCGGCGGGUGUCUCGGAGGGGGUUCUCCCUCCCCGAGACGCUAAACCCGCCGGCAGCCUACUAUACUCUGUCUCUUUGCGUUGGCAUCUCGAGUACAAUCAAACAAGUUAAAACUUUCAACAACGGAUCUCUUGGUUCUGACAUCGUGAAGAACGCAGC
rnacentral:misc_RNA from 1 species